rfam:Picea glauca, whole genome shotgun sequence.
ACAUGCCUACAACAUAGCAUUAAUGCAUCAUAUUACAAUAGAAAUUCGUAGUUAAGUGCACUCAGGCUAGAGUAGUACUAGGAUGGGUGAUCACCUAGGAAAUCCUAGUGUUUUACAUGAU